rnacentral:rRNA from 1 species
ACGUAGGUGGCGAGCGUUGUCCGGAAUUACUGGGCGUAAAGGGCGCGUAGGCGGCCUGAUAAGUCUGAAGUGAAAGUCCUGCUUUCAAGGUGGGAAUUGCUUUGGAUACCGUCGGGCUUGAGUGCAGGAGAGGUUAGUGGAAUUCCCGGUGUAGCGGUGAAAUGCGUAGAGAUCGGGAGGAACACCAGUGGCGAAGGCGACUAACUGGACUGUAACUGACGCUGAGGCGCGAAAGCGUGGGUAUCAAACAG